rnacentral:lncRNA from 1 species
GUUUUUAAUUUUUUUUUUUAAAUUUUGAGAUACUGUCUCACUAAACUUCUAAGGCUGGCUUUGAACUUGUGAUCAUCCUGCCUCAGCCUCUCUAGCCCCUGGAAUUAUAGGUGUGCACCACCACAAGUUUCUAACACUAUUUCUAUGAAUCUAUAACUAACUAUGAAGUUGUGGUAAAUAUUACAUUAAGUAAAAGUUCAGCAUGCAGUUUGGGCACAAUUUCUUUAUUACUGUCAUAUUGUAUAAUACCAUUGGAUGACACAGUGCAAGAACAAUUUAUAAACUUGAACAUGCUAUGUCAUAUUUUCAGUUGAAAUAUCUGAUACACAUAUGCAAGAGAAUCACUACUGAACUUUUAUUCCAUUGUUAUGGAAAAACCAGCCUACAAAAGAAUAUAACAUCUACCUAUUUAAAGAUCAUUUUGUGAUGUUUGAUAAAGAUCAGAAAAAAAAAACAUCAAGGUGAAAUCAGCGUGACAAAGCAACAGCUAUGCAUGUAACAAGGAAGGAUGCUAAAGCCCCAUGAGUAAAAGAUGUUGUGCUGAAUGUCAGUUUAUACUUAGUUACCUUCAAAGAAACAUGGGUGGUCCAUAAGAGCCCUCAUUACUUUGAUUCGCUGUUGAAGAAGAGGCAAGAUUGGGAGUAUGAUAAUACAACCUCUAUUUGAGUGUUCAUCUUUUCAUGAUGUCAAAUGAAGAAAUGGGCAAUGAAGAACAGUGUCAGGAGCUUCCCUGGAUUAAGAUCCCUUUAAGUCCUGAUGCAACAAAGUUCCGAACAAUUAUUGCCUUCAAUCUAGCAGGGUAGUGCCAGGUCACAGUAACUGGGGCAUUAUCCCAGUCAGAUAACAAGGUGUGGCUCCAGGAGUGUCACCUGCUAGGGUUGAGUUAUACUCACCUAUUUCUUUGUAAUCCUACCCCUUUGCCCUGUUGGAAAUAGAAUAUUCCAUGGAACAGCAUCCCUCAAUAAAAC